rnacentral:rRNA from 1 species
CCUACGGGAGGCAGCAGUGAGGAAUAUUGGUCAAUGGACGAGAGUCUGAACCAGCCAAGUAGCGUGAAGGAUGACUGCCCUAUGGUUUGUAAACUUCUUUUAUAUGGGAAUAAAAUGUUCCACGUGUGGGUUUUUGUAUUUACCAUAUGAAUAAGGAUCGGCUAACUCCGUGCCAGCAGCCGCGGUAAUACGGAGGCUCCGAUCGUUAUCCGGAUUUAUUUGGUGUAAAGGGAGCGUAGGUGGAUUGUUAAGUCAGUUGUGCAAGUUUGCGGCUCAACCGUAAAAUGGCAGUUGAUACUGGCAUUCUUGAGUACAGUAGAGGUGGGCAGAAUUCGUGGUGUAGCGGUGAAAUGCUUAGAGAUCACGAAGAACUCCGAUUGCGAAGGCAGCUCACUGGACUGAAACUGACACUGAGGCUCGAAAGUGUGGGUAUCAAACAGGAUUAGAUACCCGAGUAGUC